rnacentral:rRNA from 1 species
GAUGAACGCUGGCGGCGUGCCUAAUACAUGCAAGUCGAGCGAAUGGAUUAAGAGCUUGCUCUUAUGAAGUUAGCGGCGGACGGGUGAGUAACACGUGGGUAACCUACCCAUAAGACUGGGAUAACUCCGGGAAACCGGGGCUAAUACCGGAUAAUAUUUUGAACUGCAUAGUUCGAAAUUGAAAGGCGGCUUCGGCUGUCACUUAUGGAUGGACCCGCGUCGCAUUAGCUAGUUGGUGAGGUAACGGCUCACCAAGGCGACGAUGCGUAGCCGACCUGAGAGGGUGAUCGGCCACACUGGGACUGAGACACGGCCCAGACUCCUACGGGAGGCAGCAGUAGGGAAUCUUCCGCAAUGGACGAAAGUCUGACGGAGCAACGCCGCGUGAGUGAUGAAGGCUUUCGGGUCGUAAAACUCUGUGUUAGGGAAGAACAA